rnacentral:lncRNA from 1 species
CCCUUGGGGAAACCAGCUUUAAAAAGGAGGAUAGGUUGUUGUGAGGAAAACUGGAUGUGAGUGGAUGGGGCCUCUUUAAAGGGGACAGUUUUCCAGUUUUGAAGAGACCUGUUGGGAUAAACACAUUCAAGAUAAUAGCGCUGGGACAGGACAAAAGCCACUUCAUUGUAAAAAUGCCUUCAACCUGAAACAUUCUGAUGGACCUGUGCACGAACAAUGGACACACACUGCCUAAUGUGGGAUGGAAGAGUAGCUGGUGGACCGCGGCAUUCUCUGGAUUCAUGGUAAGAAAUUCACCCUCCCUCCGAGAAGUCCAUCAGUUAAUAUUAACAAGCAGAAAGAGCAAGAACCACUUGGCAGGAAGCUCUGAAUUUCCCCCAGACUCUGAGUCAAGAGGUCAUCAAGGAAGGAGUCUGGCUGUAAAGUACACCUAUCUUCCUGUGAUGAGAGUGACGACCGGGGUGACUGGAAUCAGAGUGUAGCCUGCCCUCCUUUGGCAAACAAACACCCAC